GCCUCCGUAGCUCAGCUAGGUAGAGCACCCGGCUGUUAACCGGGCGGUCGCAUGUUCGAUCCAUGCCGGGGGCG
rnacentral:tRNA from 1 species